GAAGCAGGGCAGACGAUCGCCGCCGGGUGAGCUGGGGGCGCGGAGCAUUCCGCGUUCGCCGGCGCUCGGGGGAGGAAAGUCCGAGCUCCUCAGGGCAGGGUGGUCGGUAACGCCGACCGGGGGUGACCCCAGGGAAAGUGGCACAGAAAAAACACGGCCGAUGGUUGCGAAGGAAACUUCGCUUCACAGGCAAAGGUGAAAACGUGCGGUAAGAGCGCACGCGCGACAGCCGGGUGACCGGCGGCGAGCUAAACCCCACCCGGAGCAAGACCAAAUAGGCUGGCGUUCCGGAACGGCCGGGAACUCCCGGCGCGCCGGAUCGUAGGGCUGCCCGCCCGAGACCAGCGGGUUAGGUCGCUUGAGGCGGCCGGCAACGGCCGUCCUAGAUGAAUGAUCGUCGCCCCGCCGGAGGUGACCCCGCGCGAGGAACAGAACUCGGCUUACCGCCCUGCUCCGACA
rnacentral:RNase_P_RNA from 2 species